rnacentral:lncRNA from 1 species
GUUUUCUCUGCACACAACCCAAAAGAUGGCGAGUGGAAUUACGAAACACUUGAGGGUGAGUUUAUUUCAAAAACAAAUUUUAUUCUGUUAACUUUUCUAUACUUCUGUGCUAACCUUUGUUUUGAAGCGUUCUUCAUGGUUGAAUUUUCUCCAUGAGGGGGGCGCGCCUAUUACAUAGUGGGCAUGAAGUCACCAUUAACGCCCCAUCCAUCAACCCCCAAUAAGACGUAUUCAUAUGUUAUCUUGCUCUUGUUAGCAUCCAUGUUUUUACUUCCAGUAGUUACUUUAUUUUCAUGCAAUUUUAGGCUUGAACAUGUAACAGAUGAACAGCUUAGGAUCUAUUUUUGCAUACAUAUGCAUUCGUGUGUUGAGUCAGAAUUUAAAGCUAUGACCCAAAAGGCAUAUGAAAUCCUACGAGAAGAUAAUUUUGGAAGACUUGAAAAUUCAGUAAGAUGGACUUAUGAGACUCUAUUGUGAUAAUAAAUCAGCAAUUAGUAUUGUUCACAACUCUAUACAACAUGAAAGAAUAAAAUAUAUUUAAGUUAUCAAGGAGAAACUAGAUGGUGGAUUGAAAUAAAAAGAAAACGAAAAACAUUUUUUCAAUGAAAGAAAAACAAAAACAAUUUUUUAAAAAUAAAAAGAAAGAAAAACAAAACUUUUGAAGACUUAGUUUUCCCUUUUAGAACAGUUAGUUUAUGGUUACAAAACGCUUUUUUUUUUUUUGCUCAAGGAUCAUCUUCUUUCUUCUAAUGAUGACUUGGAGGAACCUCAUUGAAAUUCUGACUGGCUUGUGGAACUUUAAGUGGAAACAUCUAGGUGCCUUGUUAAUAUAUGUUAUCUUCUUUUCCCUCUUAAAAAAGAGAUGGGAUAUGCAUCUGGGUGAUCUAGCAAGUCACUUUGCUAGGUAUAAACUGUUGCCUUGGUGGAGGGAUGUUUGAUCUACUAUACAUUAAAAGGAAUUUGCUAGGAUCUACCAUUAUCACAUGCUUUCGCUAGCUGCAGCUAAGAAAUAAAACAAUGCUCUUUAACUCCCUUACAUGUGCCACAUGAACAAUUGAAAGAUUUAAGCACAGAGUUUGAUCUAGGUUUGCAUAGGAAACUUAGAGGUCAUGAUUCCAUCCCUCUAGUUGUAGAUAGGUUUUCCAAACUAGCCAGUUCUAUUUCUGGUGGCAAAACAUGGUGUCCUAAUUGAAGGUCUUCUUCCAGUUAACUUUUGCGUCAAUUAUAUUUUUCCAGUACCCAGAUGCCAAAUCCUUUAAGGUGUCAAUUGAGGAAGGAGGUAACUUCUUUAAUCUUGGAAUUAAAGAAUUCACCAGAUAGAAAAGAUUCAGAAUCUUCCUGGUAAAGAGGGAGCAUAGUGGCUGUUAGAGAACUUUAGAGUCUUGAGGAACGAAAUGGAUAAG